CCACCACAAAAUUCAAAUGCUGAGGCAUAUAGUAGCAACAACGUAAGCACAGCAGUUAACACGGCUUAAGCAAGCAAAGAAUCAGCUGCUAGACACAGCAAAAUCACAGUGAAAAGCAGAAACUCCAGCACAGUUUUUCUAAUACCGCCUAGUUUUACGUGUUUUUCACACGUUGCCAUCUGAGCUCUGUGACCACCUGGAUUAUUUCCAAGAACAGCAGCUGGCCAGUGCUCCAGAAGGCAAGACUACACCCCUCCAUGACAGAACCUUGAUGCAUCCACGCCCCUGAAAGUCUGAAGAAAGUUCCAAACAGGACUCAUGAGACACUAACAUAAAGCCUCUGGAAGAACUUGCAGCAGAUGCUUGCUUCUGCA
rnacentral:lncRNA from 1 species